rnacentral:rRNA from 1 species
CUGGCUCAGAAUGAACGCUGGCGGCAUGGAUUAGGCAUGCAAGUCGAACGCACUCCCUUCGGGGAGAAAGUGGCGAAAGGGUGAGUAACACGUGAGCAACCUGCCUCCGGAUCCGGAAUAAUCCAGGGAAACUUGGUCUAAAACCGGAUGAAGACAUUGGGCCGCAUGGUCUGGUGUUAAAAAUAUUUAUAGUCCGGAGAGGGGCUCGCGGCCCAUUAGCUUGUUGGCGGGGUAAUGGCCCACCAAGGCUACGACGGGUAGGUGGUCUGAGAGGAUGGUCACCCACACUGGGACUGAGACACUGCCCAGACUCCUACGGGAGGCUGCAGUCGAGAAUCUUCCGCAAUGGGCGCAAGCCUGACGGAGCGAUGCCGCGUGAGGGAUGAAGGCCUUCGGGUUGUAAACCUCUGUCAUCCGGGACGAAAACAAUGACGGUACCGGAAAAGGAAGCCACGGCUAACCACGUGCCAGCAGCGGC